rnacentral:rRNA from 1 species
GGGGAAUAUUGGACAAUGGGCGCAAGCCUGAUCCAGCCAUGCCGCGUGAGUGAUGAAGGCCCUAGGGUUGUAAAGCUCUUUCAACGGUGAAGAUAGUGACGGUAGCCGUAGAAGAAGCCCCGGCUAACUUCGUGCCAGCAGCCGCGGUAAUACGAAGGGGGCUAGCGUUGUUCGGAAUUACUGGGCGUAAAGCGCACGUAGGCGGAUUGAUUAGUCAGAGGUGAAAUCCCGCAGCUUAACUGCGGAACUGCCUUUGAUACUGUCUGUCUAGAGGUCGAGAGAGGUGAGUGGAAUUCCGAGUGUAGAGGUGAAAUUCGUAGAUAUUCGGAGGAACACCAGUGGCGAAGGCGGCUCACUGGCUCGAUACUGACGCUGAGGUGCGAAAGCGUGGGGAGCAAAC